rnacentral:rRNA from 1 species
GUGGAUUAGAUACCCUGGUAGUCCACGCCCUAAACGAUGUCAACUAGGUGUUGGGAGCGCAAGUUCUUGGUACCGCAGCUAACGCGUGAAGUUGACCGCCUGGGGAGUACGGUCGCAAGAUUAAAACUCAAAGGAAUUGACGGGGACCCGCACAAGCGGUGGAUGAUGUGGAUUAAUUCGAUGCAACGCGAACAACCUUACCUACCCUUGACAUGUCCGGAAGGCUGCUGAAAGGCGGUUGUGCCCGCAAGGGAACCGGAACACAGGUGCUGCACGGUUGUCGUCAACU